rnacentral:rRNA from 1 species
GGGCGUCUCUUUCUCAUUGCGAGUGGAGGCCCACCCAGAGCGUACACGCUGAUACCCGAAAGAUGGUGAACUAUGCCUGGCCAGGACGAAGCCAGGGGAAACCCUGGUGGAGGUCCGCAGCGAUUCUGACGUGCAAAUCGAUCGUCGGAGCUGGGUAUAGGGGCGAAAGACCAAUCGAACCAUCUAGUAGCUGGUUCCCUCCGAAGUUUCCCUCAUGAUAGCUUGCGCUCAUGUGAACGAGUCUCAUCCGGUAGAGUCGAAUGAUUAGAGGCCUUGGGGUCGAAACGACCUCACACCUAUUCUCAAACUCCAAAUAGAAGAGAACUCCGGCUCUUCUUGAACUUUGUUUUUGAAGCCGGGGGCUCGGAUCAGAUUGCCAAGUGGGCCAAUUUU